CCUACGGGUGGCUGCAGUGAGGAAUAUUGCACAAUGGGGGAAACCCUGAUGCAGCGACUCCGCGUGAGUGAAGACGUAUCUAGGUACGUAAAACUCUAUCAGCCGGGAAGAAAAUGACGGUACCUGACUCAGAAGCCCCGGCUAACUACGUGCCAGCAGCCGCGGUAAUACGUAGGGGGCAAGCGUUAUCCGGAUUUACUGGGUGUUAAGGGGGCUUAAACGGCAGGACAAGUCUGGAGUGAAAUCCCGGGGAUUAACCCCCGACCUGCUUUGGCAACUGUGCGGCUGGAGUGCAGGAGGGGUAAGCGGAAGUCCUAGUGUAGCGGUGAAAUGCGUAGAUAUUAGGAGGAACACCGGUGGCGAAGGCGGCUUACUGGACUGUAACUGACGUUGAGGCUCGAAAGCGUGGGGAGCAAACAGGAUUAGAUACCCUGGUAGUC
rnacentral:rRNA from 1 species